rnacentral:lncRNA from 1 species
UUAGCUUCAUUUUGUUUACAGUCCUUGAUGUUCUUGAUUUUUUGCUUUGUUACACUUAUAGAGUAAUCGAUUUCAUAGUUGAAGCAGAAUGGAAGUCAUGUUAUUGCUCGUCAGCUAAACGAGCCAUGACGCGAAGCGGCACACGAGCCAUGACGAGCAGUGGCACAAUCUUGGUGUCCGAGUCCAAGAUUGUGUGUCUGACUUCCUCUUCUAGCCGCAAUAAAUUGCAGCUAGAAGAGAUAUCAGACACAUUGUACACGCGAUCAUCGCUAGUAUCUGAAGU